GAGUGGAGCAACGGUGUAUUCAAAUGUGUUCCUGGGGAAAUGAUUUUCAUGCCGAGUUUCCAUAGUAGCAAUGCAUCUUUCUCCGUAGAGCUUACAUGUUUGGCCUCUUCAAAAAAUCUAAAUCAAAUAUUAAACAAUUUUGACAAGAUAAUAUCCUUAAACGAUCAAAUCCUUAUUGUAUUAUUUCUCGUGUUUUUAUACAAAUUUCUAUACUUCAUCUUUUCCUGA